AUGAUUCGUGUAUAUAUUUUACAGAAACGUGAAACCAAGGUUGGGGAUAAAGUAACCGGAAGACAUAGGAAUAAAGGGAUCAUUUCCAAAAUUUUGCCUAGGCAAGAUAUGCCCUAUUUGCAAGAUGGAACACCCGUUGAUAUGGUCUUCAAUCCCUUAGGAGUACCCUCCCGAAUGAAUGUGGGACAAAUAUUUGAAGAUUAG
rnacentral:rRNA from 1 species